GUGUCAGCCGCCGCGGUAAUACGUAGGGGGCGAACGUUGUCCGGAUUUAUUGGGCGUAAAGGGUACGCAGGCGGCCAGAUAAGUCAGAUGUGAAAUCCUAGGGCUUAACCCUAGUUAGCAUUUGAAACUGUAUGGCUUGAGUUAAGGAGAGGAAAGUGGAAUUCCUGGUGUAGCGGUGAAAUGCGUAGAUAUCAGGAGGAAUACCAGUGGCGAAGGCGACUUUCUGGACUUAUACUGACGCUGAGGUACGAAAGCGUGGGGAGCAAACAGGAUUAGAUACCCUGGUAGUCCACGCCGUAAACGAUGAGUGCUAGGUGUCGGGUGUCAAAGCUCGGUGCCGCAGCUAACGCAUUAAGCACUCCGCCUGGGGAGUACGUACGCAAGUAUGAA
rnacentral:rRNA from 1 species